GCGGACGUGGCGGAACUGGCAGACGCGCCAGGUUUAGGUCCUGGUGGGCUUAGGCCCUUGGAGGUUCGAGUCCUCUCGUCCGCA
rnacentral:tRNA from 1 species